rnacentral:rRNA from 1 species
UACGUAGGGUCCGAGCGUUGUCCGGAGUUACUGGGCGUAAAGGGCGCGCAGGUGGCGGUGUUGGCCCGGCGUGAAAGCCCCCGGCUCAACCGGGGAGGGUUGUCGGGGACCGCACCGCUUGAGGGCGGUAGGGGCUGGUGGAAUGCCUGGUGUAGUGGUGAAAUGCGUAGAGAUCAGGCGGAACACCCGUAGCGAAGGCGGCCAGCUGGGCCGUCCCUGACACUGAGGCGCGAAGGCGUGGGGAGCGAACGGG